rnacentral:rRNA from 1 species
AGGACGAACGCUGGCGGCGUGCUUAACACAUGCAAGUCGAGCGGUAAGGCCCUUCGGGGUACACGAGCGGCGAACGGGUGAGUAACACGUGGGCGACCUGCCCCCUACUCUGGGAUAAGCCUGGGAAACUGGGUCUAAUACCGGAUAUGACAUGGUCCUGCAUGGGGUUGUGUGGAAAGUUCUUCGGUGGGGGAUGGGCCCGCGGCCUAUCAGCUUGUUGGUGGGGUGAUGGCCUACCAAGGCGACGACGGGUA